rnacentral:misc_RNA from 1 species
AAAGUCGUAACAAGGUUUCCGUAGGUGAACCUGCGGAAGGAUCAUUAUGAAUUUGAACUUGUGUGGCUGGCUGUUCAACGACUUUUGUUGUUGAACGCCCCUCGCAAUUCUUUUUCUGUGAACUGUUCUCAGACUUUUAUCAAUUCAUUUUGAUAAAGGCUUGGGUUACUUUUUUGUUUUCUUGUAUUAUUCCACUUUAUAUUUCGAGUAGUUCUUGCAAAAGAAUGAAACAAAUACAAAAAACCAAGACAACUUUCAGCAAUGGAUCUCUUGGCUCUU